rnacentral:rRNA from 1 species
GCCUAACACAUGCAAGUCGCACGGAGGGUUUCGGCCUACAAUGGCGGACGGGUGAGUAUCGCGUAGGGAUUUGUCGUUGGGUGGGGGAUAACCUUGGGAAACUGGGGCUAAUACCGCAUGACGCCUGUGGGCCAAAGCCGAAAGGUGCCUGACGAGGAGCCUGCGUCCGAUUAGGUAGUUGGUUGGGUAAUGGCUGACCAAGCCUGCGAUCGGUAGCUGGUCUGAGAGGAUGAUCAGCCACACUGGGACUGAGACACGGCCCAGACUCCUACGGGAGGCAGCAGUGGGGAAUAUUGGACAAUGGGCGCAAGCCUGAUCCAGCAAUGCCGCGUGGAUGAAGAAGGUUUUCGGAUUGUAAAGUCCUUUCGGCGGGGACGAUGAUGACGGUACCCGCAGAAGAAGCCCCGGCUAACUUCGUGCCAGCAGCCGCGGUAAU